GACGAACGCUGGCGGCGUGCCUAAUACAUGCCAGUUGAGCGCUGAAGGUUGGUACUUGUACCAACUGGAUGAGCAGCGAACGGGUGAGUAACGCGUGGGGAAUCUGCCUUUGAGCGGGGGACAACAUUUGGAAACGAAUGCUAAUACCGCAUAAAAACUUUAAACACAAGUUUUAAGUUUGAAAGAUGCAAUUGCAUCACUCAAAGAUGAUCCCGCGUUGUAUUAGCUAGUUGGUGAGGUAAAGGCUCACCAAGGCGAUGAUACAUAGCCGACCUGAGAGGGUGAUCGGCCACACUGGGACUGAGACACGGCCCAAACUCCUACGGGAGGCAGCAGUAGGGAAUCUUCGGCAAUGGACGAAAGUCUGACCGAGCAACGCCGCGUGAGUGAAGAAGGUUUUCGGAUCGUAAAACUCUGUUGGUAGAGAAGAACGUUGGUGAGAGUGGAAAGCUCAUCAAGUGACGGUAACUACCCAGAAAGGGACGGCUAACUACGUG
rnacentral:rRNA from 1 species